UACGUAGGCAGCGAGCGUUGUUCGGAGUUACUGGGCGUAAAGAGUGCGUAGGCGGUUUUCUAAGGUUGGUGUGAAAUCUCCCGGCUCAACUGGGAGGGUGCGCCGAAGACUGGAAGGCUUGAGUAUGGGAGAGGUAAGCGGAAUUCCUGGUGUAGCGGUGAAAUGCGUAGAUAUCAGGAGGAACACCUGCCGUGUAGACGGCUUACUGGACCAUAACUGACGCUGAGCCACGAAAGCGUGGGUAGCAAACAGG
rnacentral:rRNA from 1 species